UGUGAUUAAGGUUUUAAGGCAGCCUUCAAACGGGCAUCUGAAAAUAUGUCCAAACUGCAAACGACAGCAGAUGUACGGUGGAAGGGAAUGUGGAUGGCAGUCAUUGACUUGAGAAAUGCACAGGAUAAUAAAAGAGGUGUUAACAGAUGGGAGAUUUAAAAAAAAAUAAAUGAGGGAUGUGGGAAGAGCAAAGCCUGUGAAGUAACUGUUGAUGGAAGACAAGAGGUGGGAAAAUGUGCUUGGGUGGAUAUGUCUGGAGGAGGGGUCUGAGGCCACCAGAUCUUGUGCAGCAGAAUUAGCAUUUUCCUUCCCUUGGGAAGGGAGAGCUGGGAACUGAGUGGCUGAAAAGCUCUGGCCUGGGGAAUAUUUUUUCCAGAAAUGAUGCUGAUGUUUUGGUGCCAGGAUGUGCUGUUUAAAGCCUUCUCCAAAUGACUCCCAGGUUCUGGGAAGCUGAACAGUCUGAAAGACAAAAUCAGUUCCCCUCCUGGUGCUUGUCAUGACCUGACCUACCCAACACAUUCAUGGCUGCUGUCGACAACCAGAACAGAUCAAGUGUCUUUUUACGACACUUACUUUUCUUGCAAAGGAGAUGACAUCUGACUGUUCUUUCAGUAGCAAAACCCUCGUGUGAACUUGAAGGACUUGCUGAAAUUGCCAACGUGCUCUCGCCAUGCACCAAAGCAAUAGGAACCACAUGGGGCUGUGGGGAAGGGAGUUGCUGCUCCCCACCAACACCCAUCCCAGUACAAACAGUGAGCCCCAGAGACAACGGUGAGGACAGCAGCUCCUUUUCUGCCAAUAUUUCACAGUCGGACCAUCCAGGAUUUGUUUUUUGCAUCACCAACCUUCAGAUGUGCAGGAAAAGUGAUGUUUGCAGAGGACUUUGCUGCCUGUGCCAGCAAUCAGGGCCGAAUUAAGGGACUUGACGCUGAGAGGGGAUGAGGACAUUGAGUCAACGUGCAAUCUAAUCCGAUAUGUCAAAGAGAAAGAGGGGCUUUUGUGCUGGUUAAUGGACUGUCCUUUGGAGACGCAGCGCUUGCCUCCGGGAAUGACGCACACGUCGGCCAGGCUGGAGUGCUCGGAAGGAAUUAGGCUGUAUAAUUUCAGGUUGCCUUUGAGUCAAAGAAAGUUUUUAGAGAUUCAUUCCUUAUUUAUUGACAUGUUUGCUUUUGCCGCAGAGAAAGAAAAGGAAAAGUCCUGUGAGAUGGAAAAAAAAAAACCCACUUUCCAUCUUGCUUUUAAAAAGAGCCUCAGGAUUUUUUACGAAGUCCCAGUUAAAAACUGCCUGCAAAGUUAAUUGGAGGACUGGACAAAAACCACAGUAUUUUUUUUCUUUACAUGAAUUCUUGCCUUUGCUUUGCCUAAGUGCACUCUGUGCCUAUGAUAUUGAAUGUGACCAUGUGCAGAAUAAAAAAUGAUUGCUUCUGGUAAGUUCUUUUUCUUUAAAAAAGCAACAGAAAACAU
ensembl:lncRNA